CACUCCUGCGGGAGGCAGCAGUGGGGAAUUUUGGACCAUGGGCGAAAGCCUGAUCCAGCAAUGCCGCGUGAGUGAAGAAGGCCUUCGGGUUGUAAAGCUCUUUUGUCAGGGAAGAAACGGUGAAAGCUAAUAUCUUUUGCUAAUGACGGUACCUGAAGAAUAAGCACCGGCUAACUACGUGCCAGCAGCCGCGGUAAUACGUAGGGUGCAAGCGUUAAUCGGAAUUACUGGGCGUAAAGCGUGCGCAGGCGGUUUUGUAAGUCUGAUGUGAAAUCCCCGGGCUCAACCUGGGAAUUGCAUUGGAGACUGCAAGGCUAGAAUCUGGCAGAGGGGGGUAGAAUUCCACGUGUAGCAGUGAAAUGCGUAGAUAUGUGGAGGAACACCGAUGGCGAAGGCAGCCCCCUGGGUCAAGAUUGACGCUCAUGCACGAAAGCGUGGGGAGCAAACAGGAUUAGAUACCCGUGUAGUCCC
rnacentral:rRNA from 1 species